UUGGGGGGGCGUGAAAAGUCGCCCUCUGGAAGCUGGACAGGCUUCGUUCAAUCGGCGGCCGUCUCACCAGGAAGGAGGAGCCCGGGAUGGCGAAGGACUGCUUGUACAGAAAACCAACAAACGGGACAUUUGACUUCAUCCUUCAUUGUGUUAAUACGAGAGAGGUAACCGACGAAAGGUGAGAGGUCACUAAUCCUUCAUCGGUCACUCUCCCACUGCUGAUGGUUCACUCGCCAGACAAUAAACAACAGACAUUUCCUGUCGUACCUGUACUCCCGGACCCCCCCGUCGUCCCCCCCCGCGGGGUCCGGCGGGCCGCGCGCGGGUCCCGGGGGGAGGUGGGUGGACA